rnacentral:rRNA from 1 species
GGCGGACGGGUGAGUAAUGUAUGGGGAUCUGCCCGAUAGAGGGGGAUAACCACUGGAAACGGUGGCUAAUACCGCAUAAUCUCUUAGGAGCAAAGCAGGGGAACUUCGGUCCUUGCGCUAUCGGAUGAACCCAUAUGGGAUUAGCUAGUAGGUGGGGUAAUGGCUCACCUAGGCGACGAUCCCUAGCUGGUCUGAGAGGAUGACCAGCCACACUGGAACUGAGACACGGUCCAGACUCCUACGGGAGGCAGCAGUGGGG